AGACUCGGUGAAAUUGUAAUUCCGGUGAAGAUGCCGGAUACCUGCGACAGGACGGAAAGACCCCAUGGAGCUUUACUGUAGCUUGACAUUGGGUCUUGGUACUACAUGUACAGGAUAGGUGGGAGGCUUUGAAACCAGGACGCCAGUUUUGGCGGAGCCAUCCUUGGGAUACCACCCUUGUAGUACUGGGACUCUAACCAUAGGCCAUGAAUCUGGUCUUGGGACACUGUCAGGUGGGCAGUUUGACUGGGGCGGUCGCCUCCCAAAAGGUAACGGAGGCGCUCAAAGGUUCUCUCAGUACGGUCGGAAAUCGUACGUAGAGUGUAAAGGCAAAAGAGAGCUUGAUUGCAAGACAUACAGGUCGAGCAAGGAUGAAAAUCGGACUUAGUGAUCCGGUGGUUCUGCGUGGAAGGGCCAUCGCUCAACGGAUAAAAGCUACCCUGGGGAUAACAGGCUUAUCUCCCCCAAGAGUCCACAUCGACGGGGAGGUUUGGCACCUCGAUGUCGGCUCAUCACAUCCUGGGGCUGUAGUAGGUCCCAAGGGUUGGGCUGUUCGCCCAUUAAAGUGGUACGCGAGCUGGGUUCAGAACGUCGUGAGACAGUUCGGUCCCUAUCCGUCGCAGGCGUAGGAAAUUUGAGAAGACCUGUCCUUAGUACGAGAGGACCGGGAUGGACGUACCUCUGGUGUACCAGUUGU
rnacentral:rRNA from 1 species